GCUGGGCGUGGUGGUCAUAGCUACUCCGGAAGCUGAGGCAGGAGGAUCGCUUGAGCCCAGGAGUUCUGGGCUGUAGUGCCUAUGUCCAUCAGAUGUCUGCACUAAGUUCCAUGUCAGUACAGUGACCUCCGGGGAGCGGGGGACCACCAGGGUGCCUAAGCCUAAGGAGGGCUGAAGCUGCCAAGGGAAACUGGAGCAGGUCAAAACUCCGGUGCUGAUUAGUAGUGGGAUUGCACCUGUGAAUAGCCACUGCACUCCACCCUGGGCAGUAUAGGGAGACCCCAUCUCU
rnacentral:SRP_RNA from 1 species